UGAGCCGUUGAGUCAGAGGAGAAUUUGUUGGAUUUGUUGAAUUUGGAGGCAGAUUUCAACAAAGAGGUUGUGAGCUGAGGUUUGGAGUUAGGUUCAGAGGAAUCAAGCUCUAAUUGCAGGAGGUUAGGGUCAUUGGUGGAAGGAGAAAGCGUAAACCUAAAUUCAUUAUCAAACUCGUUGGCUUUGACUAUGGAGAAGAAGAAUAAGGAAAAAAAAUUAGAUGC
rnacentral:lncRNA from 1 species